GGCGGACGGGUGAGUAACGCGUAAGAACCUGCCCUUGGGAGGGGAACAACAGCUGGAAACGGCUGCUAAUACCCCAUAGGCUGAGGAGCAAAAGGAGGAAUCCGCCCAAGGAGGGGCUCGCGUCUGAUUAGUUAGUUGGUGAGGCAAUGGCUUACCAAGGCGACGAUCAGUAGCUGGUCCGAGAGGAUGAUCAGCCACACUGGGACUGAGACACGGCCCAGACUCCUACGGGAGGCAGCAGUGGGGAAUUUUCCGCAAUGGGCGAAAGCCUGACGGAGCAAUGCCGCGUGAAGGCAGAAGGCCCACGGGUCAUGAACUUCUUUUCUCGGA
rnacentral:rRNA from 1 species